rnacentral:rRNA from 1 species
AUUGAACGCUGGCGGCAGGCCCAACACAUGCAAGUCGAGCGGCAGCGGAAAGUAGCUUGCUACUUUGCCGGCGAGCGGCGGACGGGUGAGUAAUGUCUGGGAAACUGCCUGAUGGAGGGGGAUAACUACUGGAAACGGUAGCUAAUACCGCAUAACGUCGCAAGACCAAAGAGGGGGACCUUCGGGCCUCUUGCCAUCAGAUGUGCCCGGAUGGGAUUAGCUAGUAGGUGGGGUAACGGCUCACCUAGGCGACGAUCCCUAGCUGGUCUGAGAGGAUGACCAGCCACACUGGAACUGAGACACGGUCCAGACUCCGACGGGAGGCAGCAGUGGGGAAUAUUGCACAAUGGGCGCAAGCCUGAUGCAGCCAUGCCGCGUGUAUGAAGAAGGCCUUCGGGUUGUAAAGUACUUUCAGCGGGGAGGAAGGCGCUGAGGUUAAUAACCUCAGCGAUUGACGUUACCCGCAGAAGAAGCACCGGCUAACUCCGUGCCAGCCACCGCGGUAA